CGGAUUGAUUCUUGACUGACUGAGCGGCGGACGGGUGAGUAACGCGUGGGUGACCUGCCCCAUACCGGGGGACAACAGUUGGAAACGACUGCUAAUACCGCAUAACAUAUAGAAUGUCGCAUGGCAUUUAUAUCAAAGAUUUAUCGCUGAAAGAUGGCCUCGCGUCUGAUUAGCUAGUUGGUGAGGUAACGGCCCACCAAGGCGACGAUCAGUAGCCGGACUGAGAGGUUGAACGGCCACAUUGGGACUGAGAUACGGCCCAGACUCCUACGGGAGGCAGCAGUGGGGAAUAUUGCACAAUGGAGGAAACUCUGAUGCAGCGACGCCGCGUGAGCGAAGAAGUAUCUCGGUAUGUAAAGCUCUGUCAGCAGGGAAGAUAAUGACGGUACCUGACCAAGAAGCCCCGGCUAACUACGUG
rnacentral:rRNA from 1 species